GACAGAGAGAGCAGAUGAGAUGGGAAAAGCCAGGGAAAGCAAGCAACAAGGUGAAAUAAAACCUCACACGAGCCUUUGGGGAACGCAGCACUCGGGUGCUAUCAGAGCAGAGCAAGUCCGCCUGAUGGGACUGCAGAAAACAUUGUAUCUGGUGGUGCACAACAAAUACCCUACUUUAUAGGGAGCAAUAAAAGUGCACAAAGGACUCCAGAGAAAAUUUCCUGCCUUCAGUACAAAACAUUUCUGCAGUGUAAAGUAAAGUGAAAGUUAAGGAAUAAUUGACUGUGUUAAACAGUAAAAGUGUCUGUAUAAAAGAGAAGUUUGGGGAAGUUGGAGAUGAUGAAGAUUUUCUGCGUAGCUGACUACAGAAGAGACUGGUCAUUAACUGAAACUACUGACUAACAAUUUAUUAACCCCGAACACAUUUUUCAGUAAAAUAACUGUAAGAGAACUGUGAUUUUAAUUGUUAACAUUCUGUGAAAAAAAAGGAGAUGGAGUGCAAUGGACUCGUGAAGCCAGCCUUGAAAUAUCUGCCUUCGAUUUCUUUUUAAAUAGUCAUCUGGGUGGUACAGUGAGCGACAAAUGAAGCCCAAAUAUUGUUGUUAGAAUUACUACGAUUUCUUAUGCGUACCAUAUUAAUGUCAAUCACGAUUAGGGACCCAUUGUUCUAGGGCACGGGAAAACAUGGGAUGACAAAAUCCCAAGCCUCUCAAAUGCACUCUGCGUAAGGCGCUGGAUUCCUCAGCUGGGUAGUUGGCUUCUCCAUGUAUAGCCUGACAGGAACCAGGAGCCCCUCCAAACAGCUCUGUCCCAAUCUAACCUCACGGAGUUUCUCUUUCUGAACUUCCCACCUAUGACUUCUUUUGGAUAAAACAUCACCAUACAAACAAACAAACAAACAAAACUUUAAACUGAAGAUGAGGACAAUGUUUCCAAUAUGAAAAACUGUAAGUCCCUAUGUACCCCUGAGCUUUAUUUAUUUCUUGUUAACAGGAUUGUAAGACAGAUGGAAGGAUUUAAUUAUUCCACAAUACUCUAGAAUUAUACUAAAUACACACUUCUGUCUGGUGUUUUGUAGACCUCUGCCUGCAUUUCAUGAAAAAAAAACAAAUGAGAAAUAUCCACUGCCUUUGUUCAGGGAGUGCAAAGUCUGAAUCGCUUUGCAGAUUUUAUAUGAUUUUUUCCUUUCAUUAGCAUUGACAACAAAACUUUCAUUUUAGAAAAUACUUCAGCAAUUUAGUAUAUUUCCUAGGAAUUUUAUUUCUUAGCUACUUCUCAUUGCAAAUAUAUUGAUGAAUGACAAAGUUAAAAGUAGAUUUAUGCCGCAGGUAUCCUGUGAUUAUCAUGUCUCUCUUACUAUUUUCAGAGCCUUCUACUUUGUUUUCUAUCAUGCACUGUGUUUAGACUUCACCCUUUAGGAAAAGGUCAUGCUUGUCUUGCACCUUGUACAAAUGGGUCACCCCUGGGUGAGAAGGGACUGCAAUAGAAAUCAUAGCAAUGAGUCAGAGUAGAGCAUAGCUAGGGAUUGCUAGUUGCUGGGUGGGGGAGGGAAAGACUGGCUUUGAUGAAAUAGCAAGUACCAACUAUUUUUCAGCCCACUGCUGCGGCAUGCUCCUCAGUCUUCAUGAACUAGCAUCAAAAUUACUGAUUAGCUUCAUACUUUCUUGGGUACUACUGCAUAUGGGAUGUGCAGUGACUGUCUCCUUAGUAUAUAACUCAUCCAAAACCUCCUGAAAUAACAUCACUUACAUUUAAGGACUUUUCAGACAAGAUGUGUAUGGCAGAGUCUAAUGGAAAUGGUAGAGGUACAAAGCUGCUUUUGAGAAGACUAAUAAGAACUGGAAUCACAUUUGUAUCACCUCAAGUGACUUUCUAUAUAAGUGUGGGUUGAAGAAGCACAUUUUGAAGGAAGCAGUAGGUAGUAAAUCUGGAACAUAUGGCUACUUUCUUUUACAGGAAAUGCAGAAUCCAGGCUGAAAAUCACAGUGCAUCCACACUGCUCAGUCAUAUUAAAAAUACCUCGGCAAGUUCAGAGCAAGAUGGUAUCUCUACUUUGGGCAGACGUGAGCUUCAGUCCUGGAAGUUGUAGAGCUUGAAAUACAGUUUUGUGAACUCCAGAACAAACUCCUGUCAAUGAAUAUGUAUUGCUUCUCCACAAAGUAAAUGGAAGAAAGAUGCUGGAUACUUACAGAGUUCCUAUUGGGAGAAUCAGAUCCACUUCCAGAACUGCCCUUCUUUGUUUUCUGGGCUAAAGAAGUCCCAAAGCGGAGAGUUUCAUACACAGGAUCAACCUUAUUGCCACAGGCUGCAAUGGAAGGAGCAAAACAUGCAUCAGUCCCCAAAGAUAUUUCUGCCCAGUUUCCUGCUCCACUUGUAGAAGCAUCUGCUUGAACUGACAUGUUGGGAUACAUGUUUAGAAAAACAAGUUGAGAGACUAUCCUGAUAGCAUUUGAAGAACUUAGUAGAAUUGGCUUUUGCUAGUGACUUUUUGCUGUGUCUUUGCUCACAUUAAGAUUACAUUUCCUUCACACGGGGCCUCUGAGUCCCUGUCAUUGCCUCAUCUCAGUCUACCUGCAAUCCUCCUUCCCUAAACACCACCUGUGCUGUCUACACUGACAUGAGUGAGUCAACAGGAGGCUUUAAUCCAUGUUUCCUUCCUAUUCCUACCACUAACUUCUUAGAUUGCUCUCCACGCAGCAUACUUAAUGGAAAAAAACUUUCUUCUUCCCUGAGCAUCGGGGUGGUGUAGGGGCUUUCAACUUUAUGCCACUAACGCUCACGGUGCUGUUAGUGGGAUAAUGUGGAUAAAUAAGAUGAACUGGAUCUUCCUGGGAAGGUGUUGAUAGUCCCAGUGUGGGACCAUGUGGGAACUGGGGGCAGUCAUGAGAAGAUACCUGCUAUUGGAAAUGUGUUUCAGGUUGCUCAGCACAGUCUAGGGGUAGCCAGAAAGGCCACCACCCCCACUGUCAUGUCUGAUCAUUUUCACUCCCACACUCACCCUCUUAGCUAGUCCCAAAGUAAUCUCCCAUGGAGGAGAAAUGAACGUCUUCAACUGGCAUGAAUGGAUCCAGAUGAAACUCUUUUAUACAUACUGCCUUGUCAGACCUCAGCUUCCCUUGUCAUACCAGGCAGCAGAAGCUUAGAAUACAACAUCUUAGUAACAUUGUACAGGAGAGCAAAGUACUAAAAAAAUGCCUGGGACUUUGAUUUUUGAUGGGAACAAAGUACAUCUCAUUUUUAAGUCAGA